UAGACGUGAAUAGAGAAUGUGAUAGUUAUCGUUCUAGAGCGUAAGAGCAAGGAAAUCAAGGACAAAUACUUGUUGGAAUUUUUAGAAAAGAACUUUAGAAGGAUGCAAAAGAAGAACCCGAGGUGCAAAAAGAAGAAGAACCAGCACACAUAAAGGAAGAACAUGCUCGGUGCAUCAAAUAUGACAAACCAGAAACAUUAAAAGCUCGAAGCCUAGCGAAUGCAAAGACCCUGCGAGAGUUUGAACAAAUGAAUUGGAUUCCUAUCGAUUUCAGUGAAAUAUUUGAUAAGCAUAGAAUAUAUCCAAAUCAAAAGGGAUCGGCCAGAGCUGUAGAGAUGGACUUUCCACCAGAGAGACACACUGGGUAUGUGCUUGAUAAAGAAACAGCUAGGUAGAUAACUCAAAAACUUUUCAGCGAAGAAG
rnacentral:lncRNA from 1 species